rnacentral:misc_RNA from 1 species
UGUGAACGUUACCAAACUGUUGCCUCGGCGGGAUCUCUGCCCCGGGUGCGUCGCAGCCCCGGACCAAGGCGCCCGCCGGAGGACCAACCAAAAACUCUUUUUGUAUACCCCCUCGCGGGUUUUUUUAUAAUCUGAGCCUUCUCGGCGCCUCUCGUAGGCGUUUCGAAAAUGAAUCAAAACUUUCAACAACGGAUCUCUUGGUUCUGGCAUCGAUGAAGAACGCAGCGAAAUGCGAUAAGUAAUGUGAAUUGCAGAAUUCAGUGAAUCAUCGAAUCUUUGAACGCACAUUGCGCCCGCCAGUAUUCUGGCGGGCAUGCCUGUCCGAGCGUCAUUUCAACCCUCGAACCCCUCCGGGGGGUCGGCGUUGGGGAUCGGCCCUGCCUUUUGGCGGUGGCCGUCUCCGAAAUACAGUGGCGGUCUCGCCGCAGCCUCUCCUGCGCAGUAGUUUGCACACUCGCAUCGGGAGCGCGGCGCGUCCACAGCCGUUAAACACCCAACUUCUGAAAUG